AGUGAACGCUGGCGGUAGGCCUAACACAUGCAAGUCGAACGGCAGCACAGUAAGAGCUUGCUCUUACGGGUGGCGAGUGGCGGACGGGUGAGGAAUACAUCGGAAUCUACUUUUUCGUGGGGGAUAACGUAGGGAAACUUACGCUAAUACCGCAUACGACCUACGGGUGAAAGCAGGGGAUCUUCGGACCUUGCGCGAGUGAAUGAGCCGAUGUCGGAUUAGCUAGUUGGCGGGGUAAAGGCCCACCAAGGCGACGAUCCGUAGCUGGUCUGAGAGGAUGAUCAGCCACACUGGAACUGAGACACGGUCCAGACUCCUACGGGAGGCAGCAGUGGGGAAUAUUGGACAAUGGGCGCAAGCCUGAUCCAGCCAUCCCGCGUGGGUGAAGAAGGCCUUCGGGUUGUAAAGCCCUUUUGUUGGGAAAGAAAAGCAGCAGGUUAAUACCCCGCUGUUCUGACGGUACCCAAAGAAUAAGCACCGGCUAACUUCGUG
rnacentral:rRNA from 1 species